GGUCCUACGGGAGGCAGCAGUGAGGGAUAUUGGUCAAUGGGGGAAACCCUGAACCAGCAACGCCGCGUGAGGGAAGACGGUUUUCGGAUUGUAAACCUCUGUCCUCUGUGAAGAUAAUGACGGUAGCAGAGGAGGAAGCUCCGGCUAACUACGUGCCAGCAGCCGCGGUAAUACGGAGGAUGCGAGCGUUAUCCGGAUUUAUUGGGUUUAAAGGGUGCGCAGGCGGCGAGUUAAGUCAGCGGUAAAAUUUCGGGGCUCAACCCCGACGAGCCGUUGAAACUGGCUUGCUAGAGUGGGCGAGAAGU
rnacentral:rRNA from 1 species